AAAAUUAAAGCAAGGUUCAACUUUUUGGGCCAUGAUUCCAAAAGGUAUGUUUCACGCAAAUACAACACUGCUCAUUCCCGAAAAAAGACCGUACCCGCGUGAAAUAUGGCGGUUGUAGCAUAAGGCUUUGGGGCUGUUUUUUGUCAGCUGCAAUUUGGGCCUUAUAUAUAUGGUGAUGGGAAUUAUGAACAGUUCCAAAUCCCUUUACUAGUCGGUGUUUGCACAUAUCCUUUAAAAUCCCGCUAGGAGCAGCAAAUUGUUAGGAAAAGCCUCGUAUGGGUCCAAUAAUUGAACAUUAUAAUAUUGCGAAGGCAACUGUACUUCUGGUGCAUUUUUUUUUUGUUUUAAAUGAUCUAUGAGCAGUUCAUUUUUAGGAGUAAUGCUGUAGGAUGAGUUUGGAAUUGUAGUAUUGUGUUUUGAGGUGGGGGCGGGGGACUCAAUUACUUCCUAUAUCAUACAUCAACAA